GAACCUGUAACACAUGACCAACCAGAGUACAUCAGCUAUGGCAGACACAGACGCCUCAGAUUCCCCCACAUUCAGUCCAAGAGGACUCCUGCUUCUCUGAGCAUUGUUCCCAGCUCCUUCAGAAAGCCUUCUGACCACUCCAGCCUCCCUUACCUCCAUCACCACAUAUAUCUUACUGCACCACUCAGACCUGAUUCUCCUCAACCUCCCCUGUCACCAGCUUAGGACACUCUACCCACUUCUAUUAAUGGACAAUUUCUCAGCCUCUGCUUGCUUUCUUCCAGAAAUGGGGAAGAUCCCUUCCUUAAAGUCUCACUUCUUUGUAUAUUUUAUUUGUUUUAUUUUGUUUUCUCAAGGCAGGCUCUCACCACGUACCUCUGGCUGUCCUGGAACUCACUCUGUAGACCAGGCUGGCCUCUAAACUCAGAGAUCUGCCUGCCUCUGCCUCCUGAGUGCUGAGAUUAAAGGUGUGUGCCGCUGCACCAGGCUCUCUGCAUUUUAGGGGUUCUACUACAGACUGAAUAGCUCCCCUGCAGUGUCUCUUCCUGGAGUUCAGUCUCAAGCACCUGCCCCCAAAGCCAAGAGAUGGCUGGCAGAGAUGGCUGGCUGAGGCCCUGAACCUCAGCUCCCACCCAGCGGCCCCGCUUCUGCUGCUGGCUCCUACCUGCAUCCAGCUGGUGUCCAUUCUCCAUGAUGCAUGAGUUUGAAGUUCGUCUCGCCUCGAGGUCACUGACUUCAUCAUGUUCCAUGCUCUGCGGGGGCACCAACACUACUGAACCCGGUCGGUGGGAGCCAGAUGCCCAUCCCAAGGUCCCAUCAGCUGCCCACCCUAAAGGCACUUCCCCAAAUCCCUACUGGUUCUGGAGGCAAAAACUUCACUCUUUUGGGGAAGAAAGGAUCACACAGAAGGUACAAUGGUUCCACAGGUCUAGACAAGGGCCUCAAAGGGCAAACUGAUGGUGAAAUCAUUUUCCCAGGAAUGUAAGUAUCUACAACACACACCCCAGAUACCUGGCCCUGCACAUUAGUCUCUACCCACCACAGUACCCCAGGGGACUGGCAGAAGUAGGUCCUACACCUCAGGACUGGCCAGAUUCCUAAGGGGUCUCUACAAAGCGGAGGGUCAGGGAUAGAGCUGAACCAGGACUCCCAGGUUCCCCUGCCUCUGACUCCUCCAGCCCCAAACUGCAACCACUUCUGGCCUGGAAAAGGGGCUCGCCUAUGUUUCAGGCCAAGGGGCUAUUCUAAAAUGACCUUUAACCUAUCACUAAACAGAGAGGGAAUGGAGCCUGGUGUAGUAAAAGGAGGUUCUCAAACUUAAACAAUGGCUGAAGACUGUGAUCAAGUUCACAUUGGAGGCCAGGGCUCUCUUCAUGACAUCCAGGGCUCUGCCCACAAAGCCCCUUGUCCCUGCAGAGGAGAACUCAUAGCAAGUGUUCUAGCCCAGGGGAUAAGCCCCACUGCGUGCAGCUCAACCAGAUGGCAGGAAGGAACAGCAUAAAGCCUGGGAUGAACGCCCAGUGGGACCUUCCCAGAUGGCAAAGCCACCAAAGGAAAGGCUGAGACCAGCCGAGCUGGAGCAAGAUCUUGUCCUAAGCCCUUGCCCACCCGAGGCUGCCGAUCCAUUCCCCAGGGAGCCACCAUCUUCCUUAUGGCUGGGGAGCCCACUCUGUGCUUGCAUCAGGGCAGAAAUCACAGUAGCGCCCCAGGGCUGAGGAUGGGUCCUGUUGAGCUGGCCUCCUACUCCCACAGUCUCCUGUCUCAGCUCUGUAUUAGAGAAAGGGAGGUGCCCUCUGAGGGAGCUGAGGCCUGGGAAUUCCACAGGGGUUGGGGGAGGCAGGGGAUGAGAUAAAUGUGGGUUUGGGGACUGAGAGAUGAGAGCCUCUUAUUGGAAAGCUUUUUGGGGGGUAAGGAAUAGUAUUGCAAGACUGAUCGUCAGGGACAUAGGAGCUCAUACGUGGGCUCUGCACAACCCACACAGAGCAGAACCCCUACUUAGGAUGGUUAAAAUCGCUGCCCCAGCCCAUCUCCACUCACACCACAGCUUUUGAGUACUCGAUCCAAACUUCUCCACAAAGCAUUAAGCCCCCUUAUCACACUGGCUCUGGGAAAGGCAGGCAGAUAAGGUGAGUCUGCUUUCUCUCACCAUGGGGCCUCUGACACUCAGCUCUUGGCAGUUACUACUGAGGAACUGUAUUGCUUUGACCGUGGGGAGCCAGCCGCUCCAGCUUAGCUCGGGAUGACAUUUCCAGGGAGCAAUGCACUGCCAGCCUCCUGGGCCCAGGUCUGACCUCAGGCUGCAGCCAUCCUCCCCAGGACCCCAUCCUCCUGGUUCCCUUCUUUCUGACGGACAACAGCAGUGAUUUUUUGGGACAGUUUUGUUAACCAGAUCAGCUGGACAGUAACCUAACCUGCUCACUGCACUGGGUCCAAAGGGGCCAAGACAAUCUCCCUAGGUUUAUUACUUUAUUUUUAAUUAUAUGCAUGGGGUGAGGUGCAGGUGCCUGCAGAGGACAGAGGCAUUGGAUCCCCCCAGAGCUAGAGUUACAGGCAAUUGUGAGCUGCCUGGCAUGGGUGCUGGACAUGGAAAUCGGGUCCUUUGCAUGAGCAGUGUGCGCUCUCAGUCGAUGAGCAAUCUCUCCACCUCUACAUCACCCCCACCAUCACCCCAGCCUUGGUUCAAAUGCAGGGAAACUGAGGCCCAGCUGAGAGCAGAUGUCUCAAAGUAUCUCCUAUCUGUUCUAAGUGAAGUACUUGUCCCACAAGCCUCCUGCGGAGUCCCCCCUAGUUAUUUCACCAGACUGUCUGCCCUCUUCCUCCUCCAAGGCUUCCGGGACCAUCUCACUGCCUCCUAGGCACACGCUUUUAAGGUCUGUGUGUUCCAAAGUGAGUGAACUGAUCAACCCCUUCUGAACACUUUCAUGCUGGAUUCAGCCCAUCUCUAGUCCCCAUACUGGGGGAGGGGGGGAGUAAAAUACCUGUCUCCACAAGUUCUGGUUACAAACCAAGAGGGGCAGCCAAUAUUGGCUUGUAGUCACAGGAUGGAACCCUCACACCAACGCCCUACCACAGAUACAGAAUGAGAAACCAGACAGCCCUCCUUCAGGCACCCAUCUGGGACUCUGUCCAUCAUCCUUGUUCGUAGGCAAGCGGUACCCACUACCACAAACUCGCUCAGAGCCUGCAUGGCUGUUCCUGGGGGAGUACAUCUUGGGGUCAGGCAAGGGGGUUAGCCAUAGGCCCAUGGGUCCAACUGGAGACAGGCCAUCCUCCACCCCUAAUGUUCAGCUACAGGUGCUACUCUUUGCCCUAGGACAUUUCUCAGGUCCUCAGACUACUGUGCAGCUCCUGAGCCCUUGUCCUUAGUCCCGAGAGGCUGGAGCAUCCUUGCUGACCCCAGAGUCUCCCCAGCUUAAGCCUCUCUCUCUCUCUCUCUCUCUCUCUCUCUCUCUCUCUCUCUCCCUCCCUCUCCCCCUCUCUCUCUCUCUCUCUCUCUCUCUCUCUCUCUCUCUCUCUCUCUCUCUCAGCCAAAGAGCACCCUGUCUGCUGCUGACUCCUACUCUGGGACUCCUGUCCCAGGUAGCUCACCUGACUCAUCCCUUCUGCUUGGACCAUCACAGUUAAGUUGCCUGUGGCGGCCUAAUUCCUUAGAAUUGAGACAUUCUCUCUCAGAGGGAAGGGGAGGGCCCAUAAACACUUGGGAAAGCCGCUGAACACAACACAGGGGGCUAACUCACAAGGUCCUUCCCUGAGUUAGAUACUGGCCAGGACCUUCCCUGAGGUUAGACGUAAACAACGAUGGAGAGAGAAGACUGGCCAAGCUGCCUGCUGCCUGCAGGUCGUGCAGCUUCCCAGAGGCACCACCCUUGCUAGUGUGGGCUUUUGAUCUUACAGCCUUUGAGUUACUCACGCUCCUGUAAAUAACCCCAAUAAACUAAUUGGCUCACCAAGCCAGUCUUGA